CAUGCAAGUCGAACGAGAGAGAAGGAGCUUGCUUCUCCGAUCGAGUGGCGAACGGGUGAGUAACGCGUGAGGAACCUGCCUCAAAGAGGGGGACAACAGUUGGAAACGACUGCUAAUACCGCAUAAGCCCACGGAUCGGCAUCGAUCUGAGGGAAAAGGAGCAAUCCGCUUUGAGAUGGCCUCGCGUCCGAUUAGCUAGUUGGUGAGGUAAUGGCCCACCAAGGCGACGAUCGGUAGCCGGACUGAGAGGUUGAACGGCCACAUUGGGACUGAGACACGGCCCAGACUCCUACGGGAGGCAGCAGUGGGGAAUAUUGCACAAUGGGGGAAACCCUGAUGCAGCGACGCCGCGUGGAGGAAGAAGGUCUUCGGAUUGUAAACUCCUGUUGUUGAGGAAGAUAAUGACGGUACUCAACAAGGAAGUGACGGCUAACUACGUGCCAGCAGCCGCGGUAAAACGUAGGUCACAAGCGUUGUCCGGAAUUACUGGGUGUAAAGGGAGCGCAGGCGGGAAGACAAGUUGGAAGUGAAAUCUAUGGGCUCAACCCAUAAACUGCUUUCAAAACUGUUUUUCUUGAGUAGUGCAGAGGUAGGCGGAAUUCCCGGUGUAGCGGUGGAAUGCGUAGAUAUCGGGAGGAACACCAGUGGCGAAGGCGGCCUACUGGGCACCAACUGACGCUGAGGCUCGAAAGUGUGGGUAGCAGACAGGAUUAGAUACCCUGGUAGUCCACACCGUAAACGAUGAUUACUAGGUG
rnacentral:rRNA from 1 species